rnacentral:rRNA from 1 species
UGGGAUAACAAAGGAGCAACCUACGGUACUAUCGUUUUCGGCUUUUGUUGGUUUUAGAAGUCUGUGGGAGAAUAUAGAUUCGUGCGACCAGCGGUCCGGGGUCCGUCCCCGCGCUUUUUGCCUUGUGAGGCUUCGGCCCUGCAUUGUAGACUCGCGGAUCCAGGAAUGAAGGAGGGUUGUUCGGGGGAGAACGUACUGGAACGUGAGAGGUGAAAUUCUUAGACCGUUCCAAGACGAACUACAGCGAAGGCAUUCUCCAAGGAUACCUUCCUCAAUCAAGAACCAAAGUGUGGAGAUCGAAGAUGAUUAGAGACCAUUGUAGUCCACACCACAAACGGUGACACCCAUGAAUUGGGGAGUACUUUGGCGUUUUUUCUCUUUGCUGGGCUUGUUCCCAGUGGGAGGCGCCAAAAACAACAAUUUACGUGCACGUUCUAUUCGGGCCGUGCGUUCACGCGCAUUUUGGUCCAUCAGCGGGAAUGUCCUCAGCACGUUAUCAUAUUUUUUCACGCGAAAGCUUUGAGGUUACAGUCUCAGG